CUAACAUCAUCAGUCCUGUAAGAGGAUCCAGAGUUUAAUUCCAGUUUAUUUAGACUGUUGACGUAUGACAACCAUGUAAUAUCACCAUCAUCUGAUGUGCAGCAUUGUCAGUGGAUCUACAGUCUGAUUCCAAUAAAGUGUAUUUAUUAUUUCAGUGCUGACUGUCAAGACUUGGUGUGACCAUGACACAAUUCAACAUCACCAACUCUGUGUACUCUAGAGCGGAACAUGCAGAAUCAGUAUUUAUCUGGAUUUUAUGUACCAUUGAGAUUCCAGUCG